GCCCUCUUAGCUCAGUGGUAGCAGCGCGACACUAGUAGCUUCAUUCAUCAGCUGCAUGUCGAGGUCAGCCGUUCGAAUCGGCUAGUGGGCA